rnacentral:rRNA from 1 species
UACGUAGGGUGCAAGCGUUGUCCGGAAUUAUUGGGCGUAAAGAGCUCGUAGGCGGUCUGUCGCGUCGGAUGUGAAAACCCAGGGCUCAACCCUGGGCCUGCAUUCGAUACGGGCAGACUAGAGUUCGGUAGGGGAGACUGGAAUUCCUGGUGUAGCGGUGAAAUGCGCAGAUAUCGGGAGGAACACCGGUGGCGAAGGCGGUUCUCUGGGCCUUACCUGACGCUGAGGAGCGAAAGCGUGGGGGAGCAAACAGG